AACGUGCCCGAUCGUGGAGGAUAACGCAGCGAAAGCUGUGCUAAUACCGCAUACGAUCUACGGAUGAAAGCAGGGGAUCGCAAGACCUUGCGCGGACGGAGCGGCCGAUGGCAGAUUAGGUAGUUGGUGGGGUAAAGGCUCACCAAGCCGACGAUCUGUAGCUGGUCUGAGAGGACGACCAGCCACACUGGGACUGAGACACGGCCCAGACUCCUACGGGAGGCAGCAGUGGGGAAUUUUGGACAAUGGGCGCAAGCCUGAUCCAGCCAUGCCGCGUGCAGGAUGAAGGCCUUCGGGUUGUAAACUGCUUUUGUACGGAACGAAAAGGUCUUCUCUAAUAAAGAGGGCUCAUGACGGUACCGUAAGAAUAAGCACCGGCUAACUACGUGCCAGCAGCCGCGGUAAUACGUAGGGUGCAAGCGUUAAUCGGAAUUACUGGGCGUAAAGCGUGCGCAGGCGGUGAUGUAAGACAGAUGUGAAAUCCCCGGGCUCAACCUGGGAACUGCAUUUGUGACUGCAUCGCUGGAGUGCGGCAGAGGGGGAUGGAAUUCCGCGUGUAGCAGUGAAAUGCGUAGAUAUGCGGAGGAACACCGAUGGCGAAGGCAAUCCCCUGGGCCUGCACUGACGCUCAUGCACGAAAGCGUGGGGAGCAAACAGGAUUAGAUACCCUGGUAGUCCACGCCCUAAACGAUGUCAACUGGUUGUUGGGUCUUCACUGACUCAGUAACGAAGCUAACGCGUGAAGU
rnacentral:rRNA from 1 species